rnacentral:rRNA from 1 species
AGAGUUUGAUCUUGGCUCAGAUUGAACGCUGGCGGCAGGCCUAACACAUGCAAGUCGAGCGGUAACACAGGGAGCUUGCUCUCGGGUGACGAGCGGCGGACGGGUGAGUAAUGUCUGGGAAACUGCCUGAUGGAGGGGGAUAACUACUGGAAACGGUAGCUAAUACCGCAUAACGUCGCAAGACCAAAGAGGGGGACCUUCGGGCCUCUUGCCAUCAGAUGUGCCCAGAUGGGAUUAGCUAGUAGGUGGGGUAACGGCUCACCUAGGCGACGAUCCCUAGCUGGUCUGAGAGGAUGACCAGCCACACUGGAACUGAGACACGGUCCAGACUCCUACGGGAGGCAGCAGUGGGGAAUAUUGCACAAUGGGCGCAAGCCUGAUGCAGCCAUGCCGCGUGUAUGAAGAAGGCCUUCGGGUUGUAAAGUACUUUCAGCGGGGAGGAAGGUGUUGAGGUUAAUAACCUCAGCAAUUGACGUUACCCGCAGAAGAAGCACCGGCUAACUCCGUGCCAGCAGCCGCGGUAAUACGGAGGGUGCAAGCGUUAAUCGGAAUUACUGGGCGUAAAGCGCACGCAGGCGGUCUGUCAAGUCGGAUGUGAAAUCCCCGGGCUCAACCUGGGAACUGCAUUCGAAACUGGCAGGCUAGAGUCUUGUAGAGGGGGGUAGAAUUCCAGGUGUAGCGGUGAAAUGCGUAGAGAUCUGGAGGAAUACCGGUGGCGAAGGCGGCCCCCUGGACAAAGACUGACGCUCAGGUGNGAAAGCGUGGGGAGCAAACAGGAUUAGAUACCCUGGUAGUCCACGCCGUAAACGAUGUCGACUUGGAGGUUGUGCCCUUGAGGCGUGGCUUCCGGAGCUAACGCGUUAAGUCGACCGCCUGGGGAGUACGGCCGCAAGGUUAAAACUCAAAUGAAUUGACGGGGGCCCGCACAAGCGGUGGAGCAUGUGGUUUAAUUCGAUGCAACGCGAAGAACCUUACCUACUCUUGACAUCCAGAGAACUUUCCAGAGAUGGAUUGGUGCCUUCGGGAACUCUGAGACAGGUGCUGCAUGGCUGUCGUCAGCUCGUGUUGUGAAAUGUUGGGUUAAGUCCCGCAACGAGCGCAACCCUUAUCCUUUGUUGCCAGCGGUCCGGCCGGGAACUCAAAGGAGACUGCCAGUGAUAAACUGGAGGAAGGUGGGGAUGACGUCAAGUCAUCAUGGCCCUUACGAGUAGGGCUACACACGUGCUACAAUGGCGCAUACAAAGAGAAGCGACCUCGCGAGAGCAAGCGGACCUCAUAAAGUGCGUCGUAGUCCGGAUUGGAGUCUGCAACUCGACUCCAUGAAGUCGGAAUCGCUAGUAAUCGUAGAUCAGAAUGCUACGGUGAAUACGUUCCCGGGCCUUGUACACACCGCCCGUCACACCAUGGGAGUGGGUUGCAAAAGAAGUAGGUAGCUUAACCUUCGGGAGGGCGCUUACCACUUUGUGAUUCAUGACUGGGGUGAAGUCGUAACAAGGUAGCC